UACAGAGACCUCAAACGUUAUCCGGAAUUAUUGGGCGUAAAGGGUCCGCAGGCGGUAUGGUGCGUCUGCUGUGAAAUCUCUGGGCUCAACCCAGAGGAGUGCAGUGGAUACGACCAUGCUAGAGGCAGGGAGAGGUAGAUGGAACUCAUGGUGGAGCAGUGAAAUGCGUUGAUAUCAUGGGGAACACCAAUUGCGAAGGCAGUCUACUGGUCCUGUCCUGACGCUCAGGGACGACAGCGUGGGGAGCGAAGCGG
rnacentral:misc_RNA from 1 species